UACAGAGGCCCCAAGCGUUACUGAGAAUCACUGGGUUUAAAGGGUGCGUAGGUGGCGCGUUAAGUCCGUUGUGAAAGCCCUGGGCUCAACCCAGGAACUGCUUCGGAUACUGGCGCGCUUGAGGCUAGUAGGGGUCACUGGAACUGACGGUGGAGCGGUGAAAUGCGUAGAUAUCGUCAGGAACGCCAAUGGUGAAGACAGGUGACUGGGCUAGCUCUGACACUGAGGCACGAAAGCGUGGGGAGCGAACGGG
rnacentral:rRNA from 1 species